AUUGAACGCUGGCGGCAUGCCUUACACAUGCAAGUCGAACGGCAGCACGGGAGCAAUCCUGGUGGCGAGUGGCGAACGGGUGAGUAAUACAUCGGAACGUGCCCAGUAGUGGGGGAUAGCCCGGCGAAAGCCGGAUUAAUACCGCAUACGACCGGAGGGUGAAAGCGGGGGAUCGCAAGACCUUGCGCUAUUGGAGCGGCCGAUGUCGGAGUAGCUAGUUGGUGGGGUAAAGGCUCACCAAGGCAACGAUCCGUAGCUGGUCUGAGAGGACGACCAGCCACACUGGGACUGAGACACGGCCCAGACGCCUACGGGAGGCAGCAGUGGGGAACUUUGGACAAUGGGCGCAAGCCUGAUCCAGCCAUGCCGCGUGCGGGAAGAAGGCCUUCGGGUUGUAAACCGCCUUUGUCAGGGAAGAAACGCUCUGGGCUAAUACCCCGGGGUAAUGACGGUACCUGAAGAAUAAGCACCGGCUAACUACGUGCCAGCCGCCGCCGUAAAAC
rnacentral:rRNA from 1 species